ensembl:lncRNA
CCUCUGGAAGCAGGCAUGGAAACCCACUCCAGUAUUCUUGUCUGGAGAAUCCCAUGGACAAAGGAACCUGACGGGCUACAGUCCAUUGGAUCACAAAGAAUCAGACAUGACUGAAGCUACUGAGCACAGCCCAAUGCACAGGAGAUAACACUGAGGACUUAAGCCUGGGACACAGCCUAUCAGGGAGCUCUGUGGGACUGCUCCAAAGAGGAUCUCAAGAGUGCUAGGGAGCACACAGGCAAGCAGGAGGGAGCAAUGACAAUUGUGAUGGACCACGCACUGACACUGUCUCAGACACGGAGCCCAUCACCAACUUUCUCCUCCUCCAAGAUCAGUUCCUCCAGGGAGGGUCCCUGCUGCUGCUGCUGCUAAGUCGCUUCAGUCGUGUCCGACUCUGUGCAACCCCAUAGACGACAGCCCACCAGGCUCCCCCGUCGCUGGGAUUCUCCAACCAAGAACACUGGAGUGGGUUGCCAUUUCCUUCUCCAAUGCAUGAAAGCGAAAAAAUAAAAGUGAAGUCACUCAGUCGUGUCCGACUCCCAGAGACCCCAUGGACUGCAGCCUACCAGACUCCCCCGUCCGUAAGACUUUCCAGGCAAGAGUACUGGAGUGGGUUGCCAUAGCCUUCUCCAAGGGAGGGUCCCACUCACUGGAAAUUCAGUAUUUCAUUCCAUUCAUCUACUCCCUCCUUGACCCAUUGUUUAAUGAACACUCCCCAAUGGCAGUGGACAGUGGGCUGGUGUUGGACAUCCAAAUUAUGCACAAUGCUCAGUUCUUGUCCUUGAAGAACUUACAUCCUAUUGGGGGCGGAUAAUUAGGGUGUUUGGGAUGGACACAUACACACUGUUAUAUUCAAAACGGAUAACCAACAAGGACCUACUGUACAGCACAGGGAACUCUGCUCAAUGUUAUGUGGCAGCCUGGAUGGGAGGGGAGUCUGGGGGAGAAUGGAUGCAUGUACAUGUAUGGCUGAGUCCCUUUGCUGUUCACCUGACCCUAUCACAACAUUGUUAUUUGGCUAUACUCCAGUAUAAAACAAAAUUAAAAAAAAUUUUUAAUUUACAAUAAAUAUUAUGAAACAAUAAAAAAAUAACCUAAUCCAAG